CAGGUAGCUCAGUUGGUAGAGCAGUGGACUGAAAAUCCGCGUGUCGGUGGUUCAAAUCCGCCCCUGG
rnacentral:tRNA from 1 species